rnacentral:rRNA from 1 species
GAUGAACGCUGGCGGCGUGCCUAAUACAUGCAAGUCGAGCGAACAGAUGAGGAGCUUGCUCCUCUGACGUUAGCGGCGGACGGGUGAGUAACACGUGGAUAACCUACCUAUAAGACUGGGAUAACUUCGGGAAACCGGAGCUAAUACCGGAUAAUAUAUUGAACCGCAUGGUUCAAUAGUGAAAGACGGUUUUGCUGUCACUUAUAGAUGGAUCCGCGCCGCAUUAGCUAGUUGGUAAGGUAACGGCUUACCAAGGCAACGAUGCGUAGCCGACCUGAGAGGGUGAUCGGCCACACUAGAACUGAGACACGGUCCAGACUCCUACGGGAGGCAGCAGUAGGGAAUCUUCCGCAAUGGGCGAAAGCUUGACGGAGCAACGCCGCGUGAGUGAUGAAGGUCUUCGGAUCGUAAAACUCUGUUAUUAGGGAAGAACAAAUGUGUAAGUAACUAUGCACGUCUUGACGGUACCUAAUCAGAGAGCCACGGCUAACUACGUG